GGGUUCCGCGCCCUAGCUAACGCUUUAAGUACCCCGCCUGGGGAGUACGGCCGCAAGGCUAAAACUCAAAGGAAUUGACGGGGCCCCGCACAAGCGGCGGAGCAUGCGGAUUAAUUCGAUGCAACGCGUAGAACCUUACCUGGGUUUGACAUGGAUCGGGAGUGCUCAGAGAUGGGUGUGCCU
rnacentral:rRNA from 1 species